GGUUCUGUGGUCUAACGGUUAGGACUUUGGAUUUUGAUGAUAAGUCAUUCCAGCAGCGAGGGUUCGACUCCCUCCAGAACCU
rnacentral:tRNA from 1 species